UUUAAAGACACACACAGAUUAUCCUGGGCCGACUGAAGCCUCAUGCAUCCAGCCUUAUUUUCCCUCUAGAAUAAUGCUGAGUGCUACCCCGCUUGAGGGAUACGUCUUUUAAUUGAGAAAGUGCUGGGAAAGGGUCUACAUGUUACUCAGCGUCAUUCAGUCAUUCGAUGCUGCAAUACUUCAAGAGGGCGGCUGUGGGCCAUGCACCAACCCCACCCACGUUCACCCGGGCCCUUCCAGCUCCAAUCCAGGGGGUCUGGAGGAUGCCUGCAAUGUCCCUUUUUACACUAAAGAAAACAAGCGCCAGUCAGGUGGAAGUGGCCUCUAACUAGUCACUCCGCUGGGCACAUGGUCUUUGUAGUCAGAGACUCCCCUUUGACCUUGCCCUUCACUUUAGAAAUGCAUAUCACAGGCUACUUCAUCCAGACCAGAAAGGACUCCAGUGUUUUCAGUUGGGAGAAAAAGCCCUCAUCAGAAAUGGGAUCAUUUUCCUGGCCCCAUCAGCCCUUCGAAAUUUGGCCCAGCUCCCUAAAGGUGUGUUUCAGGAAAGGGUGCAGGCACGCCUGUAACCUGGCCCACACCUACAAGCUUGGGGCUCCAGGCUCUGAAUAUCUGGGGACGUGCAGUGUCGGGUGACUUCCUCGUCACCACGCUGUGUUCCUUCUCCGAGUGCCCACCUACUCUGUCCAGCUUAAAGGAUGAAUUGCACAGAUGCAAACAUUUCCCACAGAGGAGAGUGAGGGGCAUGCCAGGAUCACUGCAAGGGUCCCUGCAGCCAGGUUUCUAGGGAUCAAGGUCUCUACAGGACUCUCCCAGCAAAAGCAGGUCCCCUCGUGGAAUGGGUCUCUGAGUGCCCUGUUGAAUAUAUUCUCCAUGCCUGCUUUGAAAAAAUCCCCUUUGUCUCUCUUUGGUUCAUCGUGAUGAAACCUCUUUUAAUUAUACCUUCACUGGUGUUCUGCACGGCGCAUGCUGCCUGAUAAAUGGAGAUUGCUUUGCUCUUUUGUUUAUAGAGAAAAAUUAAAACAUUUCUUCUGAGCUUUGCAUAUUUUUCUCUAAUGCCUUUUCAAGGAGACAAGAUAGAAGGUUUUACAUAUUAUGUGCUUUUCUCCCUCUGACUUAUUCUGGACGGAGGCUGGUGAAAGAAUUAAGCUGCUUGUCUCUGCUCAGAAAGUUGCACAUGUACUUCCGGCUGCCUUCUGCCACCCCGGCCACCUCUCUAGACACAUGGCGCUGGAGUGAUGCCUGUGUCUCUGAGAGCCACUUGGGACAUAGCAUCUCCUCCAUGGGCUAGUCCAGACAAGCCUUCCAGAAAGAGCUUCUCUGCAGUGUUGAUUUCCUUCUUUUUUAAAAAUAUGAAACACCAACGGUCAUUAUUUCUCCUAAAUGUGAGCCAGAAACUUAUUUCUCAGCAAAGGGCUAAGGUCAUAUUCUGUCCUCAACAGCCAGGGUGGCCGAGGGCCCUGGGGAGGCCUUUUUUGUUUCGUGUUAACUUUGACAUUAGCAAAACUUAACCAAGGCUCCGAUCUCCCUUCAGGCUCUUGAGCUCUUCUCCCCGGGUCCACUGAGCAGGGCAUGCCCUUGACACCCAUCCACCGUUCCUUACUUCUGACCCCAUAAGUGCAAUGAACAUUAGAAACGAUCAUUCUAGCCCACAGCUGAGCUGGGCUUAAAGAGGCGAGCCCUCCUAGAGUUUGCAAAGAAGCUAAGUCUGGGCUGGGCACAGUGGCUCACGCCUGCAAUCCCAACACUUUGGGAGGCCGAGAUGGGCGGAUCACCUGAGGUCGGGAGUUUGAGACCAGCCCGGCCAACAUGGUGAAACCCCGUCUCUACUAAAAAUACAAAAAUUAGCCAGGCAUGGUGGCAGGCACCUGUAAUCCCAGCUACUCAGGAGGCUGAGGCAGGAGAAUCGCUUGAAUCCGGGAGGUGGAGGCUGCCGUGAGCCGAGAUCGUGCCAUUGCACUCCAGCCUGGGCAACAGGAGUGAAACUCUGUCUCAAACAAAAAAAAAAAAAAAAAAAAAAAAGAAGCUAGUCUGCUGUGGGUUCAUGUGGCCCCGUGGCUUGGUGUGAGGUUUUGCCUCUGACUGCUGGACAGUGAGUCAGUGAGCCCAGGCCUGAGGCCGCUCACCCUCCAGCCCUAGCUUGGCCUCAGGGCCAGCCACCUUCUCCUCCAGCGUCUAGAGUUUGCCUCGAGGCCUCCGGGUAGAAGGUGUGCAUGUCUCCACCAGUGUCAUGUGGCACCUGCAGAUGGCUUCUCGCUGGCACCUGUCAUGCUCUGCAGACGUGCCUGGAAAAGAAGCUUAUGUUGCCUUAAGGUCAUCUUUCUCCUUUGAGGGAGAGUACAGAAGUCGUGGCGACACCCACAGCCAAGCCAGGAUCGUUAUCUACGCGUGAGCAUGCAGAGCGGGCGUGAGAUAUUCCCGCUGAAUCAAGCUAAAAAUAACGCAUCCAAGCUGCCGAGUUAUGAAAGCAGCUGGCCCUCGCUCUUGCCUGUUUUAAAUACAUGCUGAGGAGCACGCGGGCAGAGUCACCCGUCGUGCAUCAGAGGCGUUCACGCCAAAGCAGGUCAGUCGUCACAGAGCCACUGCUGAGAAACAGCCAGAGGUAGUCGCGGGUCCAGAAAGGGCACCAAGCCAACUCAGAAAAGGAGCGUUUGGUGACAUGAUAAAGGCGAAUCGCGUCGGCCUAAAGAUGCAGAGGCAGGAGAGCAGCCAGUGAGAUGAGCUUGUGUGGCUUCGUUACCCUCGUGAAAUUAGUGCAAACGCACGGUGGCUCACGCCUGUAAUCCCCGCACUUUGGGAGGCUGAGGCAGGUGGAUCACGAGGUCAGGAGUUCGAGGCCAGCCUGACCAACAUGGUGAAAUCCUGUCUCUACUAAAAAUACAAAAAUUUGCCAGGUGUGAUGGUGUGUGCCUGUAAUCCCAGCUACCCAGGAGGGUGAGGCAGGAGAAUCACUUGAACCUGGGAGGCAGAGGUUGCAGUGACCCAAGAUCGAGCCACUGCACUCCAGCCUGGGCGACAGAGCGAGACUCUCCAUCUGAAAAAA
rnacentral:lncRNA from 10 species